rnacentral:rRNA from 2 species
CUUGCUCCCUGAUGUUAGCGGCGGACGGGUGAGUAACACGUGGGUAACCUGCCUGUAAGACUGGGAUAACUCCGGGAAACCGGGGCUAAUACCGGAUGCUUGAUUGAACCGCAUGGUUCAAUUAUAAAAGGUGGCUUUUAGCUACCACUUACAGAUGGACCCGCGGCGCAUUAGCUAGUUGGUGAGGUAACGGCUCACCAAGGCAACGAUGCGUAGCCGACCUGAGAGGGUGAUCGGCCACACUGGGACUGAGACACGGCCCAGACUCCUACGGGAGGCAGCAGUAGGGAAUCUUCCGCAAUGGACGAAAGUCUGACGGAGCAACGCCGCGUGAGUGAUGAAGGUUUUCGGAUCGUAAAACUCUGUUGUUAGGGAAGAACAAGUACCGUUCGAAUAGGGCGGUACCUUGACGGUACCUAACCAGAAAGCCACGGCUAACUACGUGCCAGCAGCCGCGGUAAUACGUAGGUGGCAAGCGUUGUCCGGAAUUAUUGGGCGUAAAGCGCGCGCAGGCGGUUUCUUAAGUCUGAUGUGAAAGCCCCCGGCUCAACCGGGGAGGGUCAUUGGAAACUGGGGAACUUGAGUGCAGAAGAGGAGAGU